GGCUGACCGCAUGGUCGGCCGGGCAAAGACGGCGUCAGCUGUCGCUUUUGGAUGAGCCCGCGGCGUAUUAACUAGUUGGUAAGGUAACGGCUUACCAAGGUGAUGAUACGUAGCCGAACUGAGAGGUUGAUCGGCCACAUUGGGACUGAGACACGGCCCAAACUCCUACGGGAGGCAGCAGUAGGGAAUCUUCCACAAUGGACGCAAGUCUGAUGGAGCAACGCCGCGUGUAUGAAGAAGGUCUUCGGAUCGUAAAAUACUGUUGUCAGAGAAGAACACGUGAUA
rnacentral:ncRNA from 1 species